rnacentral:lncRNA from 1 species
UCACUUGAGCCAACUUUGCGAAUAUAUUGUGUUUGUGUAUACUUGUUUGUGUUUGUGUUCUUUUGACCUUAAUGUACAUAAUAAGAACAAAAAACCCUAAAAGACAUUUUGUGUGGAUUGUUGGUUUGCUCCAAGACAUUGGACUUAGAAUUAGGCAACACUCCCUAUGCAAAAGGACUUGGCCAAUGGAAACUUUCAAAAACCAAGUGCUUGUGAAGUGAACAUUCAUCUGAUACAAUAUUGAAGAUCCAUGGGAAUUCAU